UACGUAGGGGGCAAGCGUUGUCCGGAAUCAUUGGGCGGAAAGAGCGCGUAGGCGGUCCGGUAAGUCCGCUCUGAAAGUCCGGGGCUCAACCCCGGGAGGCGGGCGGAUACUGUCGGGCUAGAGUCCGGAAGAGGCGAGUGGAAUUCCUGGUGUAGCGGUGAAAUGCGCAGAUAUCAGGAGGAACACCAAUGGCGAAGGCAGCUCGCUGGGACGGUACUGACGCUGAGGCGCGAAAGCGUGGGGAGCAAACAGG
rnacentral:rRNA from 1 species